rnacentral:misc_RNA from 1 species
UGCUUCAAGGCACCUGGGACAUUG